ACAUGCAGUCGAGCGGACAGAAGGGAGCUUGCUCCCGGAUGUUAGCGGCGGACGGGUGAGUAACACGUGGGUAACCUGCCUGUAAGACUGGGAUAACUCCGGGAAACCGGAGCUAAUACCGGAUAGUUCCUUGAACCGCAUGGUUCAAGGAUGAAAGACGGUUUCGGCUGUCACUUACAGAUGGACCCGCGGCGCAUUAGCUAGUUGGUGGGGUAAUGGCUCACCAAGGCGACGAUGCGUAGCCGACCUGAGAGGGUGAUCGGCCACACUGGGACUGAGACACGGCCCAGACUCCUACGGGAGGCAGCAGUAGGGAAUCUUCCGCAAUGGACGAAAGUCUGACGGAGCAACGCCGCGUGAGUGAUGAAGGUUUUCGGAUCGUAAAGCUCUGUUGUUAGGGAAGAACAAGUGCGAGAGUAACUGCUCGCACCUUGACGGUACCUAACCAGAAAGCCACGGCUAACUACGUGCCAGCAGCCGCGGUAAUACGUAGGUGGCAAGCGUUGUCCGGAAUUAUUGGGCGUAAAGGGCUCGCAGGCGGUUUCUUAAGUCUGAUGUGAAAGCCCCCGGCUCAACCGGGGAGGGUCAUUGGAAACUGGGAAACUUGAGUGCAGAAGAGGAGAGUGGAAUUCCACGUGUAGCGGUGAAAUGCGUAGAGAUGUGGAGGAACACCAGUGGCGAA
rnacentral:rRNA from 1 species